UAUUUAUUAAAGUGCAUGUCUAUCAAACAAUAGUGCUAUGAUACAACUAUCUGCAGUAACGUAGCCAGUGCGGCGGCAAUAUUUACUGGAUAAAUUUUGACUUUCUAAAGUCUCUAGAAUUACAGAACUUCUCGCAUUUUGAGACUAGUGCUGAAGAAAGACGAAAACAGUCCUUUUUUAUCAUUAUUGCAGUCCCCCCCCCC